AGGGUUCGAUCCUGGCUCAGGACGAACGCUGGCGGCGCGCCUAACACAUGCAAGUCGAACGAGCGAGAGAGAGCUUGCUUUCUCGAGCGAGUGGCGAACGGGUGAGUAACGCGUGAGGAACCUGCCUCAAAGAGGGGGACAACAGUUGGAAACGACUGCUAAUACCGCAUAAGCCCACGGGUCGGCAUCGACCAGAGGGAAAAGGAGCAAUCCGCUUUGAGAUGGCCUCGCGUCCGAUUAGCUAGUUGGUGAGGUAACGGCCCACCAAACCUACGAUGGAUAGGGGUUCUGAGAGGAAGGUCCCCCACAUUGGAACUGAGACACGGUCCAA
rnacentral:rRNA from 1 species